AUACAAAAUCAGAUUAUAUAGAUUGAACGAUGUAAAUUAUGCUGU
rnacentral:guide_RNA from 1 species